rnacentral:rRNA from 1 species
GUGAGGAAUAUUGCACAAUGGGCGAAAGCCUGAUGCAGCAACGCCGCGUGAGUGAUGAAGGCCUUUGGGUCGUAAAACUCUGUCCUUGGGGAAGAAAAAAAUGACGGUACCCUUGGAGGAAGCCCCGGCUAACUACGUGCCAGCAGCCGCGGUAAUACGUAGGGGGCAAGCGUUAUCCGGAAUUAUUGGGCGUAAAGAGUGCGUAGGUGGUUUUGUAAGCGUAGGGUGAAAGGCAGUAGCUCAACUAUUGUUAGCCCUGCGAACUGUGAGACUUGAGUGCAGGAGAGGAAAGUGGAAUUCCUAGUGUAGCGGUGAAAUGCGUAGAUAUUAGGAGGAACACCAGUGGCGAAGGCGGAUUACUGGACGACAACUGACGCUGAUACACGAAAGCGUGGGGAGCAAACAGGAUUAGAUACCCCAGUAGUCC